rnacentral:lncRNA from 1 species
UCUCCCUGUACUGCCCAGAGCCCAGCCUGACUCCCCCCGAAGCCGGGUAGGGAUGCAUCACUCCGACUAACAAAUGUCUCAGCCCUAAAGGGCCCCUGGCUCCAGGUCACCCUCCAGCUCUACAGAAGGGCAGGGACGAAUCUGAUCCUUGUUAGCACUGACACAAGAGGGCGGGACCUGAGUCAGCCCCAGGGGAAGCCAGCAUGCCCUGGAAAGGCUGGUCCCACCAAAGCAUGCUAGUGUGUCUCCCAGGCUGCACCCAGGAAGGCUGGGUUGGGGAGGAGCCCAGGGCCAGAUGGGCAGCAAAGUGUAUCCGGCUGUAGCCAGCCACAAAAGAGGACACUGAUGUCUGGCAGCAGCACAGAAACCCCUGUGGCUGAUGUUUCUUCCUCUUGGAUGCUGAGGGUGGUUUUUGGAGAAUAGUCAGCUUCACUCCCACCCCAGCCCCAAGGCAUCUCCUCGGAGAAGGCUCAGGCAGGUGGCCAAGGCCAGCAAGGGGCGGGCCUGCAGCUGCUCAGGCCCCCUUGGAUCUCCUCCUGGCAGACAGGGGUAUAGGGGAUAGCAGCCCAUGGGGAUGGGGCCUUGGUUUCCUGCAGAACCUACACGAGAGGCCAAAAAAAAGAUGGGGGUACCAAGGAGAGGAAAACACCCCCGGCACCCACCACCAGCCCGCCUGUAGACUGCAUCCUGUGUGUUCACAUGUGUGAACCGCACGUACGGUUGAGCCUGGCCAGUGCUCAGUCCUUCACUCUGCUGGUCUCUGUCAGGGAGAGCUGACCCUUUCCAGGGCCCUGCCUGCACUGGGCAUGGGGGUCUGAGAAAGGGGCAGCACCGCUGGCAGAGUGAGAGGUGCCGGGACUACCUGGCCUCCUUGCCGCCUCGGUUACCGGGUCACCGCCCAUCAUUGGUCAGCUGCCUCCAGGGAUCUGGACGUGGGGCACAGAUGAGUGUCCUUACAAAAAUAACUCUGAGUCUGUUCCCAGUGGGACCAGGUUCCUGAGAGCACGUGGGGCC